UGGCCUACGGGGGGCUGCAGUGGGGAAUAUUGCACAAUGGGCGCAAGCCUGAUGCAGCAACGCCGCGUGAAUGAUGAAGGCCUUCGGGUCGUAAAGUUCUGUCCUAAGGGAAGAAUACAGUGACGGUACCUUAGGAGGAAGCCCCGGCUAACUACGUGCCAGCAGCCGCGGUAAUACGUAGGGGGCAAGCGUUAUCCGGAAUCACUGGGCGUAAAGGGAGCGUAGGCGGUUUGACAAGCCAGAGGUGAAAGGCAAUAGCUUAACUAUUGUAAGCCUUUGGAACUGUCGAACUUGAGUGUAGGAGAGGAAAGUGGAAUUCCUAGUGUAGCGGUGAAAUGCGUAGAUAUUAGGAGGAACACCAGUGGCGAAGGCGACUUUCUGGACUAUAACUGACGCUGAGGCUCGAAAGCGUGGGGAGCAAACAGGAUUAGAUACCCCAGUAGUC
rnacentral:rRNA from 1 species